rnacentral:rRNA from 1 species
UGGGGAAUAUUGCACAAUGGGGGGAAACCCUGAUGCAGCGACGCCGCGUGAGCGAAGAAGUAUUUCGGUAUGUAAAGCUCUAUCAGCAGGGAAGAAAAUGACGGUACCUGACUAAGAAGCCCCGGCUAACUACGUGCCAGCAGCCGCGGUAAUACGUAGGGGGCAAGCGUUAUCCGGAUUUACUGGGUGUAAAGGGAGCGCAGGCGGUUCUGCAAGUCUGAUGUGAAAGCCCGGGGCUUAACCCCGGGACUGCUUUGGAAACUAUGCAGCUAGAGUGUCGGAGAGGUAAGUGGAAUUCCCAGUGUAGCGGUGAAAUGCGUAGAUAUUGGGAGGAACACCAGUGGCGAAGGCGGCUUACUGGACGAUGACUGACGUUGAGGCUCGAAAGCGUGGGGAGCAAACAGGAUUAGAUACCCUGGUAGU